AGUUAAACAGUACGUGAAAUUGUUGAAAGGGAAACGAUUGAAGUCAGUCAUACCAACGGGAAAUCAACCUCUUGAGUUUGGUCUCGUGGGUUUCGAAGAGUUUAAAAGCCUUCGGAUUUUCGAGAUUGGGCUCUUCUGGUGUACUUUCUCGUACGGUUAGUCAACAUCGGUUUUGAAUGUCAUAAAAUGACUGGAGGAAUGUGGCUUCGAUCUCGUAUUGAAGUGUUAUAACCUUUGGUAGAUGUGAUGUUUGAGACCGAGGAUUGCAACGGAUACCCUUCUGGGCUAUUCGUCUGAUCUCUGAAACGUUGCCUUGAUGUCGAAAGCUUGCUUAUGAUGUUAGGGUAUUACGGUCAAAAGGUUAGAACGGAUUAAAUUCGUUAAGGAUGUUGACGUAAUGACUUUAAA
rnacentral:misc_RNA from 1 species